GUCGCCUCCUAAAAGGUAACGGAGGCGCUCAAAGGUUCCCUCAGAAUGGUUGGAAAUCAUUCAUAGAGUGUAAAGGCAUAAGGGAGCUUGACUGCGAGACCUACAAGUCGAGCAGGGUCGAAAGACGGACUUAGUGAUCCGGUGGUUCCGCAUGGAAGGGCCAUCGCUCAACGGAUAAAAGCUACCCCGGGGAUAACAGGCUUAUCUCCCCCAAGAGUUCACAUCGACGGGGAGGUUUGGCACCUCGAUGUCGGCUCAUCGCAUCCUGGGGCUGUAGUCGGUCCCAAGGGUUGGGCUGUUCGCCCAUUAAAGCGGUACGCGAGCUGGGUUCAGAACGUCGUGAGACAGUUCGGUCCCUAUCCGUCGUGGGCGUAGGAAAUUUGAGAGGAGCUGUCCUUAGUACGAGAGGACCGGGAUGGACAUACCUCUGGUGUACCAGUUGUCGUGCCAACGGCAUAGCUGGGUAGCUAUGUGUGGACGGGAUAAGUGCUGAAAGCAUCUAAGCAUGAAGCCCCCCUCAAGAUGAGAUUUCCCAACUUCUGUUAUAAGAUCCCUCAAAGAUGAUGAGGUUAAUAGGUUCGAGGUGGAAGCAUGGUGACAUGUGGAGCUGACGAAUACUAAUCGAUCGAAGACUUAAUCAA
rnacentral:rRNA from 1 species